UACGGAAGGCAGCAGUGGGGAAUAUUGCACAAUGGGCGCAAGCCUGAUGCAGCCAUGCCGCGUGUAUGAAAAAGGCCUUCGGGUUGUAAAGUACUUUCAGUCGUGAGGAAGGUGUUAAGGUUAAUAACCUUAGCAAUUGACGUUAGCGACAGAAGAAGCACCGGCUAACUCCGUGCCAGCAGCCGCGGUAAUACGGAGGGUGCGAGCGUUAAUCGGAAUUACUGGGCGUAAAGGGCACGCAGGCGGUUAAUUAAGUUGGAUGUGAAAUCCCCGGGCUUAACCUGGGAAUGGCAUUCAAGACUGGUUAGCUAGAGUCUUGUAGAGGGGGUAGAAUUCCAUGUGUAGCGGUGAAAUGCGUAGAGAUGUGGAGGAAUACCGGUGGCGAAGGCGGCCCCUGGACAAAGACUGACGCUCAUGUGCGAAAGCGUGGGGAGCGAAACAGGGAUUAGAUAC
rnacentral:rRNA from 1 species